CUGGGACACAGGAAGCCGGGGAACUUGGGUUUUCUUUAAGGAGUGAAUGGAGAGGGGAGCGUGAAAGGGAAAGACGGCCAUCUUCCCAGUCACAUGAGCAGUUGCACCAGGACCGCCAGCCCGUUUUUCCCUCCCAGACCCCACCCCGCCCCGCCCUGCUCCGCUCUGGCCGCCAUGAUUGAAAGGGGCAGAUACUCAGCAGCUGAGCCUUGGGAGCGCCAUGAUUGUGAGGGGCGGACGGACCCGCUGAGCAGUUCGUCGGCGCCAUAAUCAUGAGGGGCAACGCACAUCUGCUAGCCUUUCGUCGGCGCCAUGAUCGUGCGUAGCAAACGCACUUCCGUUGUGCUGUGACGCCAUGAUUGUGAAGGGUAGAUGCCCUCACUCAAAAACGGUUAUGGGGACAGGAACCAGCAUCGAACAGCCAACGCUGUGGGCACCGUGAUCCUAAGGGGCAGGCAAACUUCCGCUGAGUGGUCCGCGACGCCAUGAUUGUGAAGGUCAGGCAUACGUCUCCCCACCCCCAUCCCGUCCACCACUUCCGGAGGGUACGUACACUUCUAGAGCGCCUCCCCAGAUGCCAUGAUUGUGAAGGGCAGGUAAACUUCCGGGGCACUAUCCUAGAGGCCGUAAUUGUGCCACCAUGAUUGUGAGGACAAACGUCCUCCCUCAGUGCCCAGAUAACGCUGUCAGCCAGCACUUAGUUGUGGGGGCGGGCGCCAGUGUCGAAAAACCGAUGCUUAUGCCGUUUGCCAGCACCGUUGUCGCAAUGGGCAGACACACUGCCGCUGCACUGCGACGCCAUGAUUAUGAGGGGCGAACAUACUUUCGGAGCGCUGUCCGCGGCGCCAUGAUUACGAGGGGUGGGCGUGCUUUCGCUGAGGAUCUCUAUGGCGCCAUGAUUGUGAUGGGCACGCGCCCUUCCUGGUGGGCUACUGUGGUGCCAUGAUAGUAAAGGGCGAACGCAUUUUCCCCUGCGUCGUGCGCGAUGCCAUGAUUGUGAGGGGCAAGGCGCCUGUGUCGUCCGCCAGUUGCCAUGAUUGUAAAGGGCAGACAUAGGCCCCCCCCCCCCGGGAGGCGUGUCCGCAACACUAAUGUACAGCGUGUUUGAGAAGGGGCAGCAGGCUGCCUAACCCACCUUCGCCUUCUGGGUGCUAACAAGAAUCCGGAGACAGGCGGAGCGAAGACGCUAACCGUGGCUGGGUGUGGGGAAAGGGUCUGUGGGGUUCGUGCGGUUUUACAGCUAAUUCGCUAUUUGGCUGGGGUAAACCAUGCCGACGCUUUCCCCUCCCCGCGUCUCUAAGGGUUGCCCUGGAUCCGAAUAGACCGCCUUCAUCUGGAGCAAAAUCACAUGAGGAAGUUGGGGCUAGCUUCUCACCCAGCUUGACAAAGCUGUACGUUUCUGUAAAGGUGGACACCGGCUUCAACCCCAGAACUUAUGUUGUCGUGUUUUCUUGGGUUACUAUGUAUACACACACACACACACACACACACACACACACACACA